UGGUAGCAACUGAAAGCGUAAAGUUACUUAUCUCUACAUAGUGUUAUUUUCAAGUCUUAGCUUUUUUUUUUUUACUACACAACAACAGUCUCUGCAGAAAGAGAUAAAGCAUGGAAGCCGUAGAACAUUUACCUUGAAACCCAAUGCACCCAUGUUCGAUGCUCGGUAUUCAAAGAGAACCCACUUCUCAAUUUCUUCUUAAACUUCAUAUAGAUCGAAACUUUUACGUUGACUAGCUUUGAGAAAAGUACCUCACAUGAUCAAAACUGUUUCUGAAUGCUGAAGCUUGUGUCUGUGUUUGAUGUGUUGGCUCCAAACUGUUUCUUA
rnacentral:lncRNA from 1 species